rnacentral:rRNA from 1 species
UCCCCGGUNNAAAANUUAGNUAUCAAUAAGCGGAGGAAAAGAAACCAACCGGGAUUGCCCUCAGUAACGGCGAGUGAAAGCGGCAAGAGCUCAAAUUUGAAAUCUGGCCCCUCCGGGGUCCGAGUUGUAAUUUGCAGAGGAUGCUUCGGGUGCGGCCCCUGUCUAAGUGCCCUGGAACGGGCCGUCAGAGAGGGUGAGAAUCCCGUCUUGGGCAGGGUGCCCGUGCCCGUGUGAAGCUCCUUCGACGAGUCGAGUUGUUUGGGAAUGCAGCUCUAAAUGGGUGGUAAAUUUCAUCUAAAGCUAAAUACCGGCCGGAGACCGAUAGCGCACAAGUAGAGUGAUCGAAAGAUGAAAAGCACUUUGAAAAGAGAGUUAAACAGCACGUGAAAUUGUUGAAAGGGAAGCGCUUGCGACCAGACUCGGCCCUGGGGUUCAGCCAGCACUCGUGCUGGUGUACUUCCCCAGGGGCGGGCCAGCGUCGGUUUGGGCGGCCGGUCAAAGGCCCCAGGAAUGUAUCGCCCUCCGGGGUUGUCUUAUAGCCUGGGGUGCAAUGCGGCCAGCCCGGACCGAGGAACGCGCUUCGGCACGGACGCUGGCGUAAUGGUCGCAAACGACCCGUCUUGAAACACGGACCAAGGAGUCUAACAUCUACGCGAGUGUUCGGGUGUCAAACCCGUACGCGCAGUGAAAGCGAACGGAGGUGGGAGCCCCCCCGGGGCGCACCAUCGACCGAUCCUGAUGUCUUCGGAUGGAUUUGAGUAAGAGCGUAGCUGUGGGGACCCGAAAGAUGGUGAACUAUGCCUGAAUAGGGCGAAGCCAGAGGAAACUCUGGUGGAGGCUCGCAGCGGUUCUGA